GACGUAGGGGGCCAGCGUUGUUCGGAAUUACUGGGUGUAAAGGGUGCGUAGGCGGCGCGGUAAGUCGGGUGUGAAAUUUCGAGGCUUAACUUCGAAACUGCAUUCGAUACUGCCGUGCUUGAGGACUGGAGAGGAGACUGGAAUUUACGGUGUAGCGGUGAAAUGCGUAGAUAUCGAUAAGGAAGACCAGUGGCGAAGGCGGGUCUCUGGACAGUUCCUGACGCUGAGGCACGAAGGCCAGGGGAGCAAACGGG
rnacentral:rRNA from 1 species